GACGGAGGAUGCAAGUGUUAUCCGGAAUCACUGGGCGUAAAGCGUCUGUAGGUGGUCAAAUAAGUCAACUGUUAAAUCUUAAGGCUCAACCUCAAAACCGCAGUCGAAACUAUUAGACUAGAGUAUAGUAGGGGUAAAGGGAAUUUCCAGUGGAGCGGUGAAAUGCGUAGAGAUUGGAAAGAACACCGAUGGCGAAGGCACUUUACUGGGCUAUUACUAACACUCAGAGACGAAAGCUAGGGUAGCAAAUGGG
rnacentral:rRNA from 1 species